GACGAACGCUGGCGGCGUGCUUAACACAUGCAAGUCGAACGGAAAGGCCCUGCUUUUGUGGGGUGCUCGAGUGGCGAACGGGUGAGUAACACGUGAGUAACCUGCCCUUGACUUUGGGAUAACUUCAGGAAACUGGGGCUAAUACCGGAUAGGAUCUCCUGCUGCAUGGUGGGGGUUGGAAAGUUUCGGCGGUUGGGGAUGGACUCGCGGCUUAUCAGCUUGUUGGUGGGGUAGUGGCUUACCAAGGGUUUGACGGGUAGCCGGCCUGGGAGGGUGGCCGGCCCAAUGGGGCCUGAGAUAGGCCCCAGACGCCAAGGGGAGGCAGUGGGGGGAAAAAUGGCACAUGGGGGGGAAGCCUGUGACGGAAACCCGCGGUGCGGAAGACGGGCCUUCGGGUGAAAAACGGUUUUAGCAGGUGAGAAGGUGGUAGUGACGGUAACUGGUGAAGAAGCACCGGCUAACUACGUG
rnacentral:rRNA from 1 species